AUGGCAGCCACCGGCACCCGCCUCUCCAUCGCCCACCAGACGCGCUUUGCACUCCGCGUUGCCUCCGCCAUCUCCUCGCCCUCGAACGCCGACGGUGCUGCCGGCAACGCAGCCUUCUCCCUGCUCUCCCUCCACAUCGCGCUUAGCCUCAUCGCCGCCGACGCGGGCGGUGCCACCCGGGGUCAGCUGGCUGCUACACUCGGUGCUGAAGGGACAGGCGAGGCGGAGAGCCUCCACGCGCUCGCCCAGCAUGUGGUCCAGCUGGUGCUCGCCGACGCAUCGGCCAAGGGCGGUCCUCGCGUCGCGUUCGCUAAUGGCCUCUUCGUCGACACGUCGAUGCCGCUCAAGUCGUCCUUCAAGGAGGUCGCCGUUGGGAAGUACAAGGCCGAGACCCACUCCGUCGACUUCCAAACUAAGGCUGCUGAAAUUGCAUGUCAAGUCAACACAUGGGUAGAGAAAAUCACAUCAGGUAUCAUCAAAGAGAUCCUCCCGGAAGGAUCUGUCGACAACACCACUAGACUUGUUCUUGGAAAUGCCCUUUAUUUCAAAGGAGCCCGGACAUAG
rnacentral:rRNA from 1 species